AAGUGAGGAAGUGGCUGAAGUCGCGUAGAUAAAUGAUGUAAUUGAGCUUGAGAUUUAUUUGCUUACUUGUUGUAAUUUAUUUUUAAGUCCCUCCUUACUACUUAAUCUAAUAGUGCAGUAAAAAACAACACACAAAUGGUCCAUCUGUUCCCAAAACUUGUACCCGUGAAAUGAAUGACUGUACAAUGCCAAAACACCCAGCAAACCAUUUUUAUAGCGCAAUACUUUUCAUUAUAGUCUGAAAGAUAUUGCUUGAAUAUUUGCUGGCUGCUCACUGUAGGUUUACAUCUUCUCCCACACUUGCCGUAAGUCAGGGCUUGCACGAGUCUGUGUUGUGCGAGUUUUUUAUUUUAUUUUAUUUUUCAAAACUUUGCCAAUCAUGUAUAGGCUAAAUGCCAUAUCAUAACCUUUUCCGUUCUGUGAAAGCACACCGACCACAUUGUAGAAGUCUCCAGACAAAGCCUUACUAUGAAUUAAUGUCUGCGCCCUGUGGUAGAAUCUGACAAGGAGGACCUUA